AAUGAACGUUGGCGGCGUGGAUUAGGCAUGCAAGUCGUACGAGAAGUUUUCUUAGCUUGCUUUGAAAACGGAAAGUGGCGAAAGGGAGAGUAACGUGUGGUUACUUGCCCUCGAGACCGGGAUAGUGUCGGGAAACUGGCAGUAAUACCGGAUAAUAUCUAUGGAUCAAAUGGUGUGAUUCCGCUCGAGGAUAGGACCGCAUACUAUUAGCUUGUUGGUGAGGUAACGGCUCACCAAGGCUGCGAUGGUUACCGGGUGUGAGAGCAUGGCCCGGCUCACUGGGACUGAGACACUGCCCAGACAUCUACGGAUGGCUGCAGUCGAGAAUCUUCGGCAAUGGACGAAAGUCUGACCGAGCGACGCCGCGUGCGGGAUGAAGGCCCUCGGGUUGUAAACCGCUGUCAGUUGGAAGGAAAUCCAUAGUAGUUAUCUAUUAUGGUUGACCGAUCUUCAGAGGAAGGACGGGCUAAGUUCGUGCCAGCCGCCGCCGUAACAC
rnacentral:rRNA from 1 species